CCUACGGGAGGCUGCAGUAGGGAAUCUUCCGCAAUGGACGAAAGUCUGACGGAGCAACGCCGCGUGAGUGAAGAAGGUUUUCGGAUCGUAAAACUCUGUUGUAAGGGAAGAACAAGUACGUUAGUAACUGAACGUACCUUGACGGUACCUUACCAGAAAGCCACGGCUAACUACGUGCCAGCAGCCGCGGUAAUACGUAGGUGGCAAGCGUUAUCCGGAAUUAUUGGGCGUAAAGCGCGCGUAGGCGGUCUCUUAAGUCUGAUGUGAAAGCCCCCGGCUCAACCGGGGAGGGUCAUUGGAAACUGGGAGACUUGAGUGCAGAAGAGGAGAGUGGAAUUCCAUGUGUAGCGGUGAAAUGCGCAGAGAUAUGGAGGAACACCAGUGGCGAAGGCGGCUCUCUGGUCUGUAACUGACGCUGAGGUGCGAAAGCGUGGGGAUCAAACAGGAUUAGAUACCCCUGUAGUC
rnacentral:rRNA from 1 species